AAGCGGGAUCUGUAGGAAGCGGAAAUUCUGAGAAGCUUUCCAAAAAUCCAAAAUGACACAACCUCAUUGUGUAAGAAAAAACGUUGAGACCUUUCCUGAGAAGGAGACUCUCUGGACCAGGCAGACUGUGAUCCAUGCUUUAGAAGAGGCAAAAACCCAGACCUAAGGAGGAAGGGACAAGGAAGAAGUUAAUUUUGCUGGUGAGGAUUGGCAAAAGCUUCUUGAGGAUGGUGGCGUUUGAUCUGGGCCUUUAAGAAGAGCAUGGGAUGACACAGCAAGAAGGUUCUCGUCAGAUGCCAGUACCUUGCUAUUGGACUUCCUAUCCUCCAG